rnacentral:rRNA from 1 species
UACGUAGGGUGCAAGCGUUUAAUCGGAAUUACUGGGCGUAAAGCGUGCGCAGGCGGUUUUGUAAGUCUGACGUGAAAUCCCCGGGCUCAACCUGGGAAUUGCGUUGGAGACUGCAAGGCUGGAGUCUGGCAGAGGGGGGUAGAAUUCCACGUGUAGCAGUGAAAUGCGUAGAGAUGUGGAGGAACACCGAUGGCGAAGGCAGCCCCCCUGGGUCAAGACUGACGCUCAUGCACGAAAGGCGUGGGGAGCAAACGAGGAUUAGAAACCCGGUGUAAGAUCCGAUGAC